UCCUGGUUGGCUAAGAUGGUAAAGCAUCUGCCUACAACGCGGGAGACCUGGGUUCUAUCCCUGGGUUGGGAA
rnacentral:tRNA from 1 species